rnacentral:rRNA from 1 species
GACGAACGCUGGCGGCGUGCUUAACACAUGCAAGUCGAACGGAAAGGCCCUGCUUUUGUGGGGUGCUCGAGUGGCGAACGGGUGAGUAACACGUGAGUAACCUGCCCUUGACUUUGGGAUAACUUCAGGAAACUGGGGCUAAUACCGGAUAGGAGCUCCUGCUGCAUGGUGGGGGUUGGAAAGUUUCGGCGGUUGGGGAUGGACUCGCGGCUUAUCAGCUUGUUGGUGGGGUAGUGGCUUACCAAGGCUUUGACGGGUAGCCGGCCUGAGAGGGUGACCGGCCACAGUGGGACUGAGAUACGGCCCAGACUCCUACGGGAGGCAGCAGUGGGGAAUAUUGCACAAUGGGCGGAAGCCUGAGACAGCAACGCCGCGUGCGGGAUGACGGCCUUCGGGUUGUAAACCGCUUUCGCCUGUGACGAAGCGUGAGUGACGGUAAUGGGUAAAGAAGCACCGGCUAACUACGUG